UCUAGGCCAUGAAAGCUUAUGCCCAAAUAAAUGUGUUAGUCUCUAAGGUGCUACAAGGACUCCUUGUUGUUUUUGCUGAUACAGACUAACACAGCUACCCCUCUGAAACCAGUGAUAGCGAAAAUGCUUGCAGUGAGAAACCAGUAGCAGUUUGAACAAAGAAUGGCAUAUCUUCAGUUUCUGGAAAAGCAAAAAAUAACUGAUACGGAAAGAGAACGCCUGUGUUUUGAACAUGAACAGAGACUGGCAUAUAUUCGAUUACAGGAACUAGAAGCUAAGCAAAAGUGGACAGACUUAAGCUCCAACUCAAGAGAAUAAAGGAACAACAGGAACUGUAUCAUCCUGAAAAGCCAGCUUCUCUGAACAACAAAGAUGGGGAUAGAAUCUAUCCAGUUUGUAACAAUGUUGCACAUCAUCUGUGAACGGUGGAGGAACAAGGAAAUUGCCUUAUGUUAAUUCUAUAUCUAAGUACUGGUGAUGGACCUCCUGCAAAGAUGGACCUCCCCGAGGAACUCCAACUUGUCAAAGAGGACAUGAAAUUGUAUAAAAGAUCCUUGGGUCCUGAUCCUAUUCAUCUCAGAGCUGCUUGAAGCUUCAUACAGUGGAAACUUAGGCCAUAAGGACUGCGAUCCCAGUUCUAACUGGAUCACCCUGAAAUAUAAACAUUGGACUAUAACCUAUAGACUAUUUCUGAAAGAACUCUUUGCAACUAUAAAGCUCACCAUCUCUACUAUGAAUCUGAAUCUUAAGAAUUGAACUCAUGUCUGUAUGUAUAUUGAUCUUUUAACCAUACUCUCUCUCUUUUGUUUUUUAAUAAAAUUUAGUU